UACGAAGGGAGCUAGCGUUGUUCGGAAUCACUGGGCGUAAAGCGCACGUAGGCGGAUUGUUAAGUCGGGGGUGAAAUCCUGAGGCUCAACCUCAGAACUGCCUUCGAUACUGGCAAUCUCGAGUCCGGAAGAGGUUGGUGGAACAGCUAGUGUAGAGGUGAAAUUCGUAGAUAUUAGCUAGAACACCAGUGGCGAAGGCGGCCAACUGGUCCGGUACUGACGCUGAGGUGCGAAAGCGUGGGGAGCAAACAGG
rnacentral:rRNA from 1 species